UACAGAGGUCUCAAGCGUUGUUCGGAUUCAUUGGGCGUAAAGGGUGUGUAGGUGGCGCCGUAAGUGGGGUGUGAAAUUUCGGAGCUUAACUCCGAAACGGCAUUCCAUACUGCGGUGCUUGAGGACUGGAGAGGAGACUGGAAUUUACGGUGUAGCAGUGAAAUGCGUAGAUAUCGUAAGGAAGACCAGUGGCGAAGGCGGGUCUCUGGACAGUUCCUGACACUGAGACACGAAGGCCAGGGGAGCAAACGGG
rnacentral:rRNA from 1 species